AUCUCUGUAACACAAUGGAUAGCAUGUUGGACUUCUAAUUCAAAAGUCGUGGGUUCGAAUCUUACCUGGGAUG